GGGGUAACAGCCACCCGUGGCUACAAUCGGUAGCUGGUCUGAGAGGAUGAUCAGCCACACCGGGACUGAGACACGGCCCGGACUCCUACGGGAGGCAGCAGUGGGGAAUAUUGGACAAUGGGGGCAACCCUGAUCCAGCGAUGCCGCGUGUGUGAAGAAGGCCUUCGGGUUGUAAAGCACUUUCGCGGGGGAAGAAACUUCGCGCUCUAACAUAGCGCGGCACUGACGGUACCCCGAGAAGAAGCGCCGGCUAACUCCGUGCCAGCAGCCGCGGUAAUACGGAGGGCGCAAGCGUUAAUCGGAAUGACUGGGCGUAAAGCGUGCGCAGGCGGCCGCGAAAGUCGGAUGUGAAAGCCCCGGGCUCAACCCGGGAACUGCGUUCGAAACUCCGCGGCUCGAGUCCGGCAGAGGAAGGUGGAAUUCCGCGUGUAGCGGUGAAAUGCGUAGAGAUGCGGAAGAACACUAAUGGCGAAGGCAUCCUUCUGGGCCGGCACUGACGCUGAGGCACGAAAGCGUGGGUAGCAAACAGGAUUAGAUACCCUGGUAG
rnacentral:rRNA from 1 species